rnacentral:rRNA from 1 species
UACGGAGGAUCCAAGCGUUAUCCGGCAUCAUUGGAUUUAAAGGGUCCGUAGGUGGGCCGUUAAGUCAGAGGUGAAAUCCUGCAGCUCAACUGUAGAAUUGCCUUUGAUACUGGCGGCCUUGAAUUACUGUGAAGUGGUUAGAAUAUGUGGUGUAGCGGUGAAAUGCAUAGAUAUCACAUAGAAUACCGAUUGCGAAGGCAGGCCACUAACCAUAUACUGACGCUGAUGGACGAAAGCGUGGGGAGCGAACAGG